AAGUUCUAUGAAGAGGAUGAAAACGAGAAGAAGAAUACUCUCUAUGCAACGUCUCUUGAAUUUCGACUUCUAAGACAACAUCAAUUUCAUAUUUCUGAAGGUUAGUGACUUUUUUUAGAUAGAGAUUUGACACAUCCGUAACAUCCUCAUUAUGAUUUUGUUAUUUAUACUUUAAAAAAUAAUUAGAGUACAUGUUCCCCAUAUAUGUAGGUUAUUCACCCAUAUAACAUAAAUUUUAAUUACUUUGAAAUACUUCUUAACAAAUAACAUUAUGGUUUUUUUUUUUUUAUGAAAUUAUGGAAAACAGAUGUUUUCAAUGCCUUCAAAGAUGAGAUGGGGAAUUUCAAAACAUGCUUUUACGACGAUAUAAAUGGAAUGUUAUCUUUAUAUGAAGCUUCAUUCUUAUCAACUAAAAGGGAGACUGUUUUAGAGGAAGCAAAAUGCUUUACAGUAAAAUAUCUAAAUGAAUUCAUCAAAUCAAGCAAAGAUGAACUCAAAGUAGAGAUUGUAGAGCAUGCCUUGAAGCUUCCUUUACAUUGGAGAAUAGAAAGAUUGGAGGCAAGAUGGAGUAUUGAUAUAUAUGAGAGAGUAGGAACCCUGAAUCCUAUUCUUCUUGAAAUUGCUAAGCUUGAUUUCAACAUGGUGCAAUCUUUUUACCAAGAAGAUCUUAAGUAUGCAUCAAGGUAAGGAGUGACAAAAUUCACUUUUAUUUUUUAAUUUAGGUUAUAGAAUUGUUACUAUUAGUUUUAGUUUUUAUGGGUAAAUCAUGAAGGUAACACUUUUAAGGCUAAAAAUUUAGUGGAAAUAGUAACAUUUAAUUUUUUUUAUAAAUAUAGCUAAAUUUAUCUGUGACAUGUUUUUUUAUCAUUGAUACGAUCACUAACAGAGUUUGAAACUUGGAUUUGGAUUAAUUUAUUAUACCUAUAAUUUUGUUUGUAUAGUGCUAUAUUUGCAAUUACUCCUUAUUCUAAUGACAUAUUUUUUAUGUAUAAAAAGUUGGUGGAGAAACACAGAGCUCGGACAAAAAUUGAGUUUUGCAAGAGACCAACUGAUGGAAAAUUUCUUUUGGACACUUGGCAUUGGAUUUGAACCCGAAUCUACAUAUUUUAGAAGAAUGGGUACAAAGAUUGUGUCAUUGAUAACAAUGAUCGAUGAUGUUUAUGAUGUUUAUGGCACAUUGGAUGAACUCAAACUCUUUACAGACGCUAUAGAGAGGUAAUUUAAUCCAAUCGUUAAUUUGGAAAAAAUAUUUUUUAAAGAAAAUACAUAAUUAAGUUUUAGGAUUUUUUUUCUCCUCAUUAACAGUAGAUCAAUUGUUUGUAAGUCGAUAAUGAUGCCCUAAAAAAGUUUUAUAUAUACUCUUUCUUUCAUAUCAAUGCAUCUUUUGAAUUUUUGGAUAUGAUAGAGAAUGUUAGAGAGGUGUCAACCUCGACAUGUGGAGAUAUCUCGGUGCCCCUAAUAUAUCCCUCUUGUCGUGUAGUUGGAUUGUUGAAGAAAAAGUUAUAUGUAUUCGCUUUCCCAUGCUAUUGUUAACAUCCACUUUGGAAUCCAAUUGAGAUCAAAUUAUCUUCUUAAUGGUAAUUUUAGGUGGGAUAUGGCAGCAAUGGACCAACUUCCUGAGUACUUGAAACCAUGUUUUUUUACUCUCUACAAUUCAAUAAAUGAGAUAGCUUAUGAAGCACUAAUCAACCAUGGAGUUGAUGUCAUGCAAUACCUUAAGAAAGUGGUAUGGACUUGUAAUACAAAUUUCAAAAUUUCAAAUAAACUAAAAUCUUUUUUAUAUAAAUUAUUGUUAAACUUUAUAAUCAUGUAAAUUUUCUGUGGUGCAGUGGGCGGAUUUGUGCAAAUCUUAUUUAAUAGAGUCAAAUUGGUAUCACAGUGGGUAUAAACCAACAUUUGAAGAAUAUAUGAACAAUGCAUGGAUAUCAGUAGCAGGACCAAUUAUGUUAGUUCAUUCAUAUAUUUUUGUAGCAUCUCAAAUAUCAAAGCAAGAAUUGGAGAGAUUGACAAAAUAUGAAGAUACAAUUCGUUGGUCAUCAACAAUUAUGCGACUUGCAAAUGACCUAUUAACACCCUUGGUAAGUGAAGAACAAAAUUAAAUUUUGACAACUAUAUAUAUUAUAAAGUUGACGAACUUUAUGUUUAUGAUACUUUAUGAUUUAGGAUAAACAAAACAUUGGUGAUGUUCCAAAAUCAAUUCAAUGCUACAUGAAUGAGACAGGUGGUUCAGAAAAAGAAGCUCGUGAAUAUGUAAGACAUCUAGUAGAUGAGUUAUGGAAGAAGUUAAAUGAUGAAUAUGAUGAUGAGAAGAGAGUAUCCACUCAAGCCAUCAUUGGCGGCAUGUCCAAGAAUCUGGCACGAAUAUCUCAAUAUAUGUAUCAGUACGGAGAUGGGCGAUUCAUUGACCAUAACAAAACAAAAGAAAGUAUAGUGUCUCUUCUUGUUCAUCCUAUCAGUACUCGUUAAUAUAGCCAAUGUUCAUAUAGUGAUAUACUUGUAUUUGGAAGAGGUUCAACGAAGUCUUGGAUAUAAUAUUUAGAUGGAUUAUUGAUGGAUUUUAAAUCAUUGCUUACCAUCUCUCAAAAAUGAUAUAAUGUAAUGUGAUUAACUAGAUAAAUUAAAUGAUUAUUUGGAAUGCAUAUCUCAUUCAUGCGUUGUUCUUAUACUUUUUUUUCGUUAUAGUUCUAAGUCGAUCUCUUAGAGAUCGAACUCAACUACUAUCACUAUAAGAAUUUUUCUUUCUAGGGACAAUUUUGCUUAGCAAAGAAAUUUUUUUAACACAAAUAUUUUUUUUUAAAAAAAAAAGCAAUUACUUUAAAAAUAAACAAAAAUAAAAGUUGCAUGGAGAUAGAUCCAACCUAAGGGCACCUAAGGAUUUUUCAUUUCUAAUAAUUAUAAAUAUAUGACAUGCAACCAAAGAAGUUCACACAUUUCGUAGUGCUUUUUUUACGUUUCACUUUGCCGUCCAUAACUUAUGACCAUUCUGUUAGAUCACACGUAUUUGAUUUGAUUUGAUUAAUAAUAUGCAGAGCAGUUUAGAAAUUGAAACUCUAUUGAGUCCUAAAAAAACUAGUUGUAAUAGUUAAAGAACAUUUUUAGGGUUAAUAACUAAUCACAUGUGCCAAUAUCAACAGAUCUCAUGCUGUACACAUACACAUACACAUAGCCAUUAUAUUUAAGCCAAAACAAAAAAAUAAUAAGUGAAUUUUGUUUUUUUCAAUGGUGAAUAUUUUAAGUUUGACAUUUAUAUAUAUUCGGCCAAUAUGAGUGUUAUAUAUAUUUGCCUCUGUUUUAUUUAAUUUUAUUUCUUACUUUAUCAAAAUGGUGAAACACAUGUGACUUCUUUCAAAUUAAUUAAGAUAAAGGUCAAAAGCCAAAAGUCACAUUUGUACAAAAGCAAAACAACUCCACGUUGAAAACGGGGCUAUGACAUUAGCAAAAAUGAAAAGAACAAAUAAAAAGGACCAACUUGGAUCAAAUUUUGUCCUAUUAACUCAUAUAUUUUUAAAUAUAAUCAAAUUAAUUAAUUUAUUAAUAUAUAUAUAGUCUAAUAUUAGUUUAUCACACAUAUAAGCACUUUUCAAGAAAAUUAAUUUAUAAAAAUAAAAUAUAUUUUAUACUCUAAAGUAAUCAUAGACAAAAUGGAAGCUAAUCAUUCAUCCUUUCAUAAUCCUAAUAUUUUAAAAAGUAAAGGAUCUUAAAUCCACUUUUAAAUAUAUUAGUUACUAUAAUAUUUGAAAUAAUUUAUAAAAUCAAGAAGUAAUAACGAAUCUAAAAUAAAUUUAACUGAUCGACAAUUGACAUUAUUUCGUUUUAAGAAUUUAAUCCGUCGAUAUGGAUGAUUCUUUUUCUUGAUAAUGAAAUUGAAUUUUUCAUCACAUGUUAAGAAAGAAAAAACUUGGUACUUGUAGUUUUUAUGAACAAGAGGAUUUACUUCUCCUUCCUCCUUUAUUUUUCUACUAUCUUUAGAAAAGAACUGUGUAAAAUUUUAUAUACUACUUUUUGGUAGAUAAGUGUUAUCCAAAUAAUUUUUGGGCAAUCUUUGUUUUUUUAGAAGUGAUUGUCUUAGAUCUCAUGGCAAACAAGAAAAGUAAUUGGUUUGUGAUUCAAAAUAGUUUUGCAAAAUAAAGAGUUUAGUAGAGAAUAAAAAAAUUUUUUUUUUUCCUUUUAUUGGAUUAUAAAACACGUUUGGUUAAAUUAAUUUGUUGAAUUUAUAAUUAAAAUUUUAUGUUUGAUUGUAAAUUUAGAAAAAAUAACAUAUCCUAUACUUAUAAAUUUUUAAAACAAAAUUAAAAAAGAAAGUAAAACAAAAAUAUUAAAAGACAUAUAAUAUUUAAUCAAACAUUGAACACAUUUUAAAUGAAAUAAAAAUAUUUCUUAUAACAUUAAAUUGAGAAGAUUGAAAGUUUGAUCUUAAGAUUAUUUUAUAUUAUAAUUAAAUUUAGAAAGAAAUUAUUAUAAAUGAUAAGAUUAUUUUGAAAUAUUUAUAAAAAUGUAGUAAAUUUUUAAAAUUUUAUCCGUAAUAAACCUUAAUAAAUACUAAUAAAAAAUGUCAUAUAGUUGAAAAUGUGGUAGUAGUUACUAUUGAUUUCGUACACAUUUUUAGUAUGAACAAAAAUCUCAAUUCAUUUAUGUUAGAUGUUAAAUAAUAUUUGAAGAUGUGGAUGAAAAUUUGAUCCUAUGAAUGGAUGAAAAGAAACAAAAAUCAUUAAAUCAUGGUGGGGUUUACCCAAGCCCCUGCACGGUGGACCCAACGUUUUUAAUCACAUAAUUCAAGGGAAAAAUGUGUUGAUUUUAACGAGUCACGAUUAUAUUUAUUUUUUCUAUAAAAAUUGUGACAUACAAAAUAAAUCUCUCUUUCGGGUUCUGAUCAAAGUCCUACAUCAAUUAGAUAAAUGGAUGAUCUUGAUUAUAUAAAGAGGACAACUAUCUCUAUUGGUAUGAAAUUUUUAAGAGGAUGUUGUAUUCAAAGGGUUUGUUGUCUUAACAACAAUUUUUGUAUUUUUUCGUGCUCAUGUCGUGUUUUCUAAUUUAUCUUGUUUUAUUUUCACUUUCACAACUCCCACUCCCUUCUCUCUCUCUCGCUCAAGUCUCUUUGGCUCUCUUUUCUUAUGAUCGUGCACUCAUCUCUUUUUCUUUUAUGCUUUCCAACAUCUGUCUCGUUCUGCAACUUCGUCCUCGUUGGACUUGGGCAUGAUCUCACUCACUGAAGAAGGAUUGUGUAAUCCAAAGAAGAAGAAAGUUGAACGAAAAUCGAGAGAGAAGAAACACUAGAUCUAGAUGCUCUCAAAAUUAAUAAUUGGAAGAAGAAAAAAGAAAAAUAAGAAAGAGAAAGAUAGGAGUAAUUGUGUAAACUUAUUUGAAGAUGAUGUAACCAAUGGGUUAGAAAAUCUAGAAGUUUUAGUAUAAUAGGGCAUUUUUCAUUUUGGACCUCCAAAGUAGAUCACGUAGAUCACGUGUCCCAUUUUUCUAUCAAUAACUCAAGAUGAUUUUAGUAAGAAAAAAAAAUUUUAAUUUUGAAGUCCUCGUUCUAAUUUCCACCUGAUAGAUAAGGAAAUAUUAAAUAACUCAACACUACCAAUUUCAAUUGUGUUUAUUCUUAAAACUUACAUAUUUACAGAUAACUCUAAUGUUUUCUUUUAACUCUAAACUAAACAAGUUUACACCCUAAUUAAACACACAUAUUUCAAACUCAAAAAUAUUAACUCUAGACUUCAGAACUCAACCAAACGUAUAUACAAAAUAUUCCUCAAAAUUUGAUUACAGUAAAGAAAUGUACCUUCACCGACAUUUAUUUAUGUUAAAAUAUAUCUUCACUCACAUUUAUUUAUGUUAAAAAGUGAUAAUAACUCAAUAAUUAAUUAAAAGAUUAAAAAGCAUGUGCUAAAAAAACUUCACAAACUUAUCUAUAUAAGGCCAACCAAUUCUCCAAAUGAUGGGCAACUAAGACAACCUUACCAAAAAAAAAAAAAGCAAAAGAGAGAGAAGUACAAAGUGUAUGGUCUCAAUGGCUCUUCUCCACCUCCCUCUUUCUUCUUCAUUCUCUUUUCAUGGGGCUGGUCUACCAUUGGCUCUUCUCCACCUCCCUCUUUCUUCUUCAUUCUCUUUUCAUGGGGCUGGUCUACCAUCUACAAACUAUAAACCUUCUUUUACCAUGGUAAUAUAUAUAAUUUAUGAGAACUUUCUUUAAGUCGAUCCUUUUUUUUCCCUCUUUUAAGUACUAUCUUCAAAAUAAUAAUGAUUUUCUUAUGUGUUUUCAUUAUGAGCAACCAUACGAGUAUUGAACGUCUUUUAUCUUUUGUUUGAUGACAUAUGUCAUUAUUUAUCAAGUUACGAUCAUAUGCUAACGUAAAAAUUACAAAAAGUUUACAUGAUGAUCAAGGUUGUAUCAUUUAGUUGUGUGACUAAUUAACGAAAACAAAUUCAAAAAACUAAAGUUUGAUAAUCGUUAGGUUUUUGAAUUUUUGUUUACGAAACUUAUCCUUCUUUUAUCUUUCAAUAUGGUUUUCGUUUUUCUUUUAUUAAUUGUUUUUUUUUGUCAUAUUUAAAAAUUGAUUUUCUUUAAAAGAAAUUUCAAACACAUGGUUUAGGAGAGAGAAAAGAAGAAUGUGGGAGGAUAUAUGAAUUUGUUAAAUUCUCAUGGUUUUGGAUCAAAUUCACAUUUAGUUCUCCUCUAUCAUAUGGAGAACAUGGACCCUCAAAUAUAGCGAAACAUUAGACUUUAUUUUGUAUUUUCACCCUCUUACUUACAAAUUUUACGUCUCUCAUUAUUUUUACUUCUUUGUACAAAUUUGUAACUCGUCCAACUUACUCAUUUAAGGGCCGUUUGACUCUCAGAAUAUGAAAGAGUGGUAGCUCACUCCAUGUUUGCUCCAAGGAUUAUCAUAAUCUUAGUAUUAGGACUAUUCUACUUCUUAUUACUUUAUCUACGUUCCACAAAACUAUAAUAACUACAUUUCAAACCUCUUCUAAAAAUACAUGUUUUGGGUGUGCUUUUUAAGCAAACAAAAUCACUUUUCUCACUGUUCAAGUUGUCUGCAAGUUGUGGGUUUAAUUGAAUUGACAAAAGUGAUACAGUUAUUGCAAGUGGUCGGUUUUAUUUGGAAAGUGAUACAGUUUAUGCAAGUGAUCGAUUUUCUUUCCAAUUAAAACAUGUAUAAAUUUGAUGUCAUUUCAACCUCUAUUAUCAUGGGGGACCUAACUGGCUCCGUUGUAUUGGAGUAUUUAUGUGGUUAGAAGUAGAGAUCAGAUACGUUUUUUCUUUUCCAAGUUUGAACCAAUAUUUUCAUGAAUACGAUAGAUGGCAUUACAGUAAUUUCAAUAUAUAGGGAAAUGUGUAAAUUUAAGAAACAAUUAUAGAUAUUAGAAAUAAAAUUCAAAGUAUUUUACAUAAAUAACAACCCAAUAUAAAAAAUUUGUAAACUAUAUCAUGUUAUUUUUUUCCCAGAGAAAUUGCGAGUUACAUACUUUUUUCUUUAUUUUUCUCUAACGUGUUUCAAAUUGGUGGCAUACAAAUAUUGCAGUUAAAAUAUGUUGUGAUUGAACGUGGAAUGUGCAUAAAAGCAUCGAUACAAAGUGGUGAUGUUAUUGUGAGGCAGUGUGCAAAUUACAGUCCUCCUCUGUGGAAAGAUGAUUUUAUUCAAUCAUUACAUAGUAAAUUCAAGGUAUGGUUUCUUUGAAGAACUGCAGAACUGCACUUGUUUGUUAUUAUUGAUCUAUUCAAUGCGAAGAAAUAGUCACACAUACAUUAUGUUAUUUUUGUAAAUAAGUUAUUUCGUUUUGUUAUGUUUAAAAAUACUUCAUGCUACAUGUUAAUUGAUAUUCAGGGAGAAGUAUAUAGAAGACGAUUUAGUCAACUAAAAGGACAAGUUCAAAUGUUACUAAAAGAAGAAAGAGACUCUUUGGAGCAACUCGAACUCAUUGAUGCCUUACAAAAGCUUGGAAUAUCGUACCACUUUGAGAGUGAAAUUAAAAAAAUACUAGAGAGAAUAAGCAACAAGUUUCUUAAAAAGGACAAGGAGAAGAAUAGUUUCUAUGCAACAUCUCUUCAAUUUCGACUUUUAAGACAACACCAAUUUGAUAUUUCUGAAGGUUGGCAUUUUUUUUUAGUACGAUGUGAAUCAAGAUAUUAUCCAAAUAUGGAGGGUGUACUUUGAAAUAAUCUUUAAGAAAUAAUAUUCUGUUUUUUUAAAAAAAAAAUUAUGGACAGGUGUUUUCAAUGCCUUCAAAGAUGAGAUGGGGAAUUUUAAAACAUGCUUUUGUGAAGAUAUAAAUGGAAUGUUAUCUUUAUAUGAAGCUUCAUUCUUAUCAACUAAAGGGGAGACUGUUUUAGAGGAAGCAAAAUGCUUUGCAGUAAAAUAUCUAAAUGAAUUCAUCAAAUCAAGCAAAGAUGAACUCAAAGUAGAGAUUGUAGAGCAUGCCUUGAAGCUUCCUUUACAUUGGAGAAUAGAAAGAUUGGAGGCAAGAUGGAGUAUUGAUAUAUAUGAGAG
rnacentral:lncRNA from 1 species